AUCAUUAAAAAGGCAAUAUUUAAAAGCUGGAUAUAUUAAGUAUAUAAAUAUUUUAAAAGAAUUAAACAAGUAUUUUUUUAAAGUUAUCAUAUUAAACAUAUUAAAACAUAUAUUAAAAAGUUAUUAUAUUUAAAUGAUAUAUUGUGUAAACAGAUUGAACAGGUAAGGUGAUAAAAUGCACCCAUGUCUGCCACUGUUGCCUAUAGGAAACCAAUCGGUCUCUCCAUAUACUGUCCUAUAUUCUUAUCCAUAAGUUACACAUCAGGACAAUCAGAUGUUCUGUUUCUUUAGAAUAGCCCAUAGUUUCUCAUGAUCCACACAAAGGCUUUGCUGUGUAGUCUCUAAAGCAUGAUCUUCUAAAUUCUUUUGUGCACUCCACUAGCCAAAAAGUACAGUCACAUAUCCUAUUAAUCAAUCAUACACUGUUGGCUAAAAUCCCCACCUAUGGAAAGUUAGACCAAAACAAGUUUCAUCAUCAUAGAGCUGCAGAGCUGGAAAUGACUCUAUGAGUCACUAAGUCCAACCCCUGUUGGAGGCACAGUGGGAAAUCAAACUCCCAAAACGAUGGUCCUGCAGCCAUAUACCUCUGAGUUAUCCAGCAGUUCUUGGUUUUGUAUUCUGAUAAACUGUGUAGUGUCUGGUGGAAGUUCCAACCCCGCUGAAUAACUCAAUGUCGCUUUGUAUCAUAAAAACAUAACUAGAAGGGCCCUGCUCAAUGAGACCAGUGGCUUAUCAAAUUCAGUAUUCUGUUACCAUAGUAGCCAAUCACCUCCUAGAAUGUUUUGCCUGGAAUCCUAGAGGGCCAAAAGAAAUCCUACAGAGAGAUCAACACUGGGACAUACAGAGGUAUGCAACAAUGGAGAAAAUCUGGGUAACGACACAAUUUAAAGCCUUUUUGGUCCAAAGCAAGGGGAAUGCAUUAAAAAUAAUCCUAAAUUGACACUUAAGCAUCACCCCCAACUAUCUGAAAUGAGUGCGCAGAUUUUUUCAUGUAUACUGGAGAGUAUGUGACCAUGGAGGACUGUUAGCUCAUCUGUGAUGGGAGUGCCCAAAAGUGAAGCCAUUUUGGAUGAAUGUGGGUGGUCAUACUUCAAAAAUAACUAAUCAAGCUACUAAGUUUCGGAAAGGGCUCAGUCUAUAUUAUCUAUCAUAUGGGUCCUAUGAACACCAGCUGUACAAACAAUUGAUAUCCUUCCUAGUGAUGGCAGCACAGCCAUAAAUAGCAAUGUGAUGGAGGGGUUGACAAUGGAUAACUGAUAUGAAAGAGUAUGGCAGACAAUACUGGCAGAAAAAGGAAUGCACACUCUUAAGACUGUUAAAGUAGAUACACAAGGAAAUCCAUUCCAAAAAAAAACAAAAAAAAAACCAUUGCCUGAAAUUCUGGCAGGGUAUGUUAUAAAAUCAAAAGCACAGAGUAGGAUCCUCAUAUCUGCAGAGGAUCAAUUCCAAGCUCUCCCAUGGAUGACAAAAACUGGGUAAUAAGUGACCCCCCCUAUACAUAGCAUUGUCUCUGGCUCCCUCUAAUGGCCAGUUCUGGUAACCACAUUGUGGAAAUAUUUAUUUCUGGGGGUUUUCUUUUAAUGUUAAAAAUAUUUUCAGACCACAGAUAAGUGAAACUGUGGAUAGUGAUCCUGUGAAUACAUGGGGUCCUACUGUACUAAAGCUCCACAAGCAAUAAGCUUAACUCCAGAUGUGCACUGUGCCUACAUGAAUGUUUGUUAGUACAAAUUAUUAAAUUGUUUGAAAUUUCAUUAUGGAAUUGUUUGAAGUACUUUUUGAAAAGUGGAACUGCAAUCAACAUAAAAAUAGUGUAUGUUUGCAAAGAUCAUUUUUAAUUUUUCCCUACUUACUGCUCAUCUGUCUUUGAUUUUAUGAUAUGUUACAUGUUUAUUUUUGUUAACAGCGCAAGAAAUGCAGUGGCAUGAAAGUGGCAAAGGGGGUAAGAAGACACUGAUUAGAUAGGAUUUCCUUGCAUGUAACGUGUGAACAAAAACCUGAAUUCCAUAUCAAUUUUCAUUGUAUUACACCACAGAUUAUAUAUUUUGCAAAUUAAAAGGUUUAUCUUUUGACCUGUUACUCCAUGUGCCAGUUUUUUUUUUUCUAGGAAGAAACCUUCAAUUCCUUACUAAGUGGUCCCUCUGGUGUCAUCACAAAAAUUCAGCUAACAUAAUGAAAAAAUGUAUCUGACCUUUAAAAGCAAUAAUGUGACAUAGCUUUCACUGACAAGCAAGGGCCGAUAACAAAGGUAAGAAUUCGUGAUUACACCCAAACAAUGUUGACUGAGUAGCAUCUCACUUGUCCUUGUAAAGAACCUAGGAGUGUCAUGAAAAACUCAGAGCCACAUUAUUUGGAGUAAGGACAAGAAAACACAGGGAGAUAUAGACAUACAAGGAAAAACACAAAUACAUUCCUUCCUCUCGAAAAAAAAAAUUCCCCAAGGGGAAAAGAUAUCAUUACAUUAAUUGGGGGUAUAUAGGUAGUAUCUCUAUAUAGGUAUACUUAAGAGCAAACAGUUUCUCAUAGGACAGCCCUGCUGGCAGCAAUGUAGAAACCCUUGUCUAUGUCUUCCUGCAUUAGGGUAAUUAAAAUGGAAUUCCAUAUAAACAGAGCACUACGAAAGAUUACCCUAAGAUUAUUUUGUAACAAAUGCUGGCGUGCAAAGCAUCCUGCAAACUGCAGCUUCUAUUCCUUUCCUUUUUUAAAGAAUAAAAAUGCACAGAGGGAGAAACUAAGUGUGUGU
ensembl:lncRNA